UGGUAGUUAUCCACAUGGGUCUGCAGCAACCUCAGUUCUUGCCUCCUGGGAAGAAAAAAAUCAACUGAGGGGCAUAAGGCAGAAGGAGAGACUGAGGCAAGUUUUAGCACACGAGGGAAAGUUUAUAAAAAGCUUUAGAGCAGUAAGGAAAGUACACUUGGAAAUACAAGCCAAGUGGGUGACUCAAGAGACCAAGUGCACAACUUGACCUCUUGACUCGGGGUUUUAUACGUUGGCAUCCUUCCAGGAUCUUGUGUUACUUCUCCCAACUCCUGAGAUCUUAUUGGGAAGCUGCUGAUCAGUUUCAGGUGUUUUGUAUCUAUUAGGAGACUGCUGUUCCCUGGCACCAGCUGUGAAUGAUUACUACUUUAAGGAAACAGUUAACAACCGCCUGACCAUCACCUGAUUGGCGCCCAACACUCCUAGUGCGUGUGUGUGUGUGUGUCUGUGUGUGGGGAGCCCUCUCCUGCCCUGCUCAUACCUAAUUAGCUACCCACUGUUGUAACACUUUCUGGUUUGAUAUCUGUGUGACUUUUGCCAUUUAUUGAUUCUCUUUCCCUCCAUGAACAACUUCUGACUUCCUGUCUUGAAUUUUCCUUUCUCUGAGCACUUGGGAGGUUGCCUUUGGUAAAGUUCAAAGCAUUUCUCUUUUGGGGAUCCAGAAUCCAGUAUAAAAAUGG
rnacentral:lncRNA from 1 species